CAGCCACUCGACAACCGACUCUUUUUUGCACCUCUUUCCCCCGCUCCAGCUGAACCCACUACACUGCGCCUUAACGAUUACUAACCCUUCUCCCGCCUCCCUCCUUUUUAUCUGGAAGAGAGCCAUGCGCGACGCCGUGGCGUCCUUCUUCCAGCGGGGCUGGAAGGCCACCAAGGAAGAGCUGCUGAACACCGUCGACAACAUCCGCAGCACCAAGCUCAACAUCGCCUUCUUCUUCGCUGUGCUCUGCGUUUUGUUUGUUAUCGUAGGCAACGUGAUUCUGCUGAUCGCCAUCAACUUCUGGAUCGUGCAGUUCCCCACCGAUGCCCUGGCGCACAACUCCAGCCAGAUCGCGAUCCAGGUGGUCACCAUGCUCCUGCUUGCCUUUCUGUUCUCUGUGCUGUGUGCCGUCUUCACCGCCGUCUACGGCGCGCUGCCGCUGUGGCACGUGCUGGCGGAUCGCAACCGUGUCGGCGGGCCGUGGUACCGCCUCUUCCUGCUCUUCGCCUCUGGUGCGUCGAACGGCAUCAGCAGCGUUCUGGGCGUGUACGCCAUGACGCACACCCCCGAAUUCAUUCAGGCAGUGCUGCUGUGCUGCAUUCCGUUCAGCGCGCAGGCCUGGACCGUGAUCUUCAUCCCUAUUGAGCGCAAGCGCGACUACCUCUCCAUGUUCUUCAUCGCGUCCUUCCUGCUGUUCGUGGCGGGCGUGCUGCUGUCGAGUCUGUCAGCCUUCCUGCACCCCAACGAGCAGGGCGAGAAGGCGUCGUGGGCGUGGGCGCUCCUCUACCUGGCGAGCUCCGUCCUCUUUGGGCUGUGGUGCGUGGUGCAGCGGCUGUACCUGGACGCCGUAGCGCUGAAGGUGCCGCUGGAGGCGGCGGGCGCAGCAAGUUACGCGAAGCUGAGGGAGAGCAACCGCAACCCGCAGCGUGAGGAGCUGAGCGCCAGCGUGACACCGGCCACGGACGCGGUGCCUGAGUGCACGCCGAAGGCGGGUGCCGCCUGCGCCGAGGAGGGCCCGCGCUUGUUCGACAUGGAGGACGACGACGAGCUGCCGCUGUCGCCGUCCGCGGAGCUGCUGGCGAAGCGGCAGUGGGGCAGCCAGAACGUCGACGACAACGCCGCCAAGAUAGUGCUUCUCGUCGUGGGUAUGCUGUUCCAGCUGCUAGUCUCCUUCGUGGUAUUCCCGGUGGACGCGAUUCCGUGGUUUGGCACCUCCGACUCGGUGCUGCACGCAUGGGAGGGCUUCCGUAACUCCAUGGAUUUCAUCUUUGCCUCUUGGCUUCAUGUGCGCCAUGGGCUCCUUCUCACCCUCGGCUUCGCGAUGAGCUUCAUCGGGUGCACGUACCUGAACGAGCACAGCCCGACGCUGGCAUCGGUGGUGUUGCAGCUCGCGGGCCCAAUCACGUCGCUGACCAUCAUCAUCAUCCCGCAGUGGAACGUGUACCAGGACAGCAGCAGCGUGGGUCACAAGGUCGGCGGCGUGAUUCUUCUCCUUGUCGCAGCGCUGCUGUACCACCUGUGGGAGCAGCAGUCUCUGCGCGUGCUGCUGGCAAAGGCGGAGGAGGCGAAGCGCCGGCACGAUUACGCCGCGGCUAGUGGCAACAGGGCCACGGAGCAGCGCGUGAUCGACGCGGAUAACCGCGCCACGGAUGAACCCGUCGCGGACAACUGUGCGUGAGUCGUUGAGGGAGGCUUUGUGCGCGCGCUGCACCAUCGGGUAGAGAGACACGGUGGGUGGGAGGGAGGGCCCGAUGACGGAGAAGCUGGAGAAAGGCCUCGGAGCAGGAGCGGGUGUGGAUCCACCACCCACCAGCGCUUGGCGCUUCUCUUCAUCUUGUGACGUGUGCGUGCGGCACGUCGGGCUUCGCCAAAUUCCUGUGUUUCACGUGCUGCUGCUUUUUUUGUGGGGGUGCGGUGGUGGUGGCCCUCCUCCACUGCCACUCAAGGCCACCCCCACGAACACCCCGCAUCCAGUGGUCUCGGUGAGCGUCGAAGUGGGCUGUGCAGUGCAUACCUGGCAUGCGUCUGUGUGCGUGCUGCUCUCGCCUCUCUUUUCGUGUCACACGGAUUAUCCUUCGCGCGGCGUUGUGUGAUGGGGGUGCGCGGAGAGAAUGCUGGCAUACGCGUGCACAUACAUACAUACGUGUGCUGCGGCCGAGUGACGUACACAGACGCAUGCGGAGGCAGACAUCCGCAGCCGCGAAGGUAAAGUCACUGCGUUCCGUUGUGAGCUUCGUUUCUGUUACCUUGCGGUCCGUGUCCAGCAGCCCAUCAUCGCCCUCCACCACCCCUCGAAGUCGCUUCCUCUUCUCUUUCCUAUUUUUAUAGGCAUAAAUAUGCACAUAUAUAUAUAUAUAUAUAUAUACAUGUAUGCGCAUGUAUGGACAGGUCUCUCUGUGCCCUGUGUCGACCCCAUACCGCCCCCCUCCCCCUCUCUCUCCCUUGCCUCCCCAAAGCAGCAUGAGCGCCUGAGCAUACG
rnacentral:misc_RNA from 1 species